rnacentral:rRNA from 1 species
AGAGUUUGAUCCUGGCUCAGGAUGAACGCUGGCUGUGUGCCUAAUACAUGCAUGUCGAGCGGAGUUCUUCGGAACUUAGCGGCGAAUGGGUGAGUAACACGUACUUAACAUGCCUUUUAGAUUGGGACAACGAUGAGAAAUUAUCGCUAAUACCGGAUACUUAUAUGGUUCGCAUGAACUAUAUAUAAAAGAAGCCUUUAAAGCUUCACUAAAAGAUUGGGGUGCGGAACAUUAGCUAGUUGGUAAGAUAAUGGCUUACCAAGGCGAUGAUGUUUAGCGGGGUUGAGAGACUGAUCCGCCACACUGGGACUGAGAUACGGCCCAGACUCCUACGGGAGGCAGCAGUAGGGAAUUUUCCACAAUGGACGAAAGUCUGAUGGAGCGACACAGCGUGCAGGAUGAAGGCCUUCGGGUUGUAAACUGCUGUUAUAAGGGAAGAAAAAGCAGUAGAGGAAAUGCUAUUGCCUUGACGGUACCUUGUCAGAAAGCAACGGCUAACUAUGUGCCAGCAGCCGCGGUAAUACAUAGGUUGCAAGCGUUAUCCGGAAUUAUUGGGCGUAAAGCGUCUGUAGGUUGUAUGUUAAGUCUGGCGUGAAAACUUGGGGCUCAACCCCAAAUUGCGUUGGAUACUGGCAUGCUAGAAUUGUGUAGAGGUUAGCGGAAUUCCUAGUGAAGCGGUGAAAUGCGUAGAUAUUAGGAAGAACAUCAACAUGGCGAAGGCAGCUAACUGGGCACAUAUUGACACUGAGAGACGAAAGCGUGGGGAGCAAACAGGAUUAGAUACCUUGGUAGUCCACGCUGUAAACGAUGAUGAUUAGCUGAUAGUAGAACUAUCGGCACAGCUAACGCAUUAAAUCAUCCGCCUGAGUAGUAUGCUCGCAAGAGUGAAACUUAAAGGAAUUGACGGGGAUCCGCACAAGCGGUGGAGCAUGUGGUUUAAUUUGAAGAUACGCGUAGAACCUUACCCACUCUUGACAUCUUCCGCAAAGCUAUAGAGAUAUAGUGGAGGCUAACGGAAUGACAGAUGGUGCAUGGUUGUCGUCAGCUCGUGUCGUGAGAUGUUCGGUUAAGUCCUGCAACGAGCGCAACCCUUGUCCUUAGUUAAUUUUCUAGGGAGACUGCCCGAGUAAUUGGGAGGAAGGUGGGGACGACGUCAAAUCAUCAUGCCUCUUACGAGUGGGGCAACACACGUGCUACAAUGGAUGGUACAAAGAGAAGCAAAACGGCGACGUCAAGCAAAUCUCAAAAAACCAUUCUCAGUUCGGAUUGUAGUCUGCAACUCGACUACAUGAAGUCGGAAUCGCUAGUAAUCGUAGAUCAGCUACGCUACGGUGAAUACGUUCUCGGGUCUUGUACACACCGCCCGUCACACCAUGGGAGCUGGUAAUGCCCGAAGUCGGUUUUGUUAAAUACGGAGACAACUGCCUAAGGCAGGGCCGGUGACUGGGGUGAAGUCGUAACAAGGUAUCCCUACGAGAACGUGGGGAUGGAUUACCU